GACGAACGCUGGCGGCGUGCUUAACACAUGCAAGUCGAACGGAAAGGCCCUGCUUUUGUGGGGUGCUCGAUUGGCGAACGGGUGAGUAACACGUGAGUAACCUGCCCUUGUCUUUGGGAUAUCUUCAGGAAACUGGGGCUAAUACCGGAUAGGAGCUCCUGCUGCAUGGUGGGGGUUGGAAAGUUUCGGCUGUUGGGGAUGGACUCGCAGCUUAUCAGCUUGUUGGUGGGGUAGUGGCUUACCAAGGGUUUGACGGGUAACCGGCCUGAGAGGGUGACCGGCGACAAUGGGACUGAGAUACGGCCCAGAAUCCAACGGGAGGCAGCAGGGGGGAAUAUUGCACAAUGGGCGGAAGCCAGAGGCAGAAACGCCGCGUGCGGGAUGACGGCCUACGGGGUGAAAACAGAUUUGGAAUGUGACGAAGAGUGAGUGACGGUAAUGGGUAAAGAAGCACCGGCUAACUACGUG
rnacentral:rRNA from 1 species